GAUUGUGAUCAUACCAACACUAAAGCAUUGGAUCUCAUAAGAACUUCAAAGUUAAGCAUGCUUGAACGAGAAUAGUAUUAGGAUGGGUGAUCCCUUGGGAAGUCCUGUUGUCCGAGUC
rnacentral:rRNA from 1 species